GGGCUCGUGGCUUAGCCUGGAUAUAGCACUGGCCUUCUAAGCCAGUGGUCUCGGGUUCGAAUCCCGACGAGCCCGCCA
rnacentral:tRNA from 1 species